CUGUAGGUGAUAACAUUUGGUC
rnacentral:siRNA from 1 species